GUACCAGUAGAUAACCUGCUCCUACACUCUAAGCCAAAAGAGAGCAACGGGGGUAUAGGGGUUCCUCCUUUGAGGGAGCAAGUGCAUUGCCACUCCCAUUACUCUCCUAAAAGGAGCAACGGCAAGGGGAUGAACCGUUGCUCUGCUUUCAGCUGCUCCUUCAGGGGAUGACCGGUUAGUCCCCCCAGUUGCUCCUUGAGGACCAACUGUUACUCCUUCCUGAUGCUCCUCAAGGGAGCAACGGAUGCUCCUUCCCGUUACUCCUUAGUUUCUUCUUGGGCCAAAAAAAAAUCGUUUUUGAUUGACUUAUAGAUCAUACUGAGGUUUAUACA
rnacentral:lncRNA from 1 species